UGUCCAGUUGCGAAAAAGAUC
ensembl:piRNA 21ur-608 ncRNA